CAGAGCCACGGGUUGGGCAAGAGUGCGGAGGAGACACACUGGUUACCUCUCAACUACUCUCAUCCAAAGGGCUCUAAAGUACUGUGUUCGGCAGGGGUGUAACUGGUCCUUGUCUUGCAGGCCAGCCUGAGGCCCUCACAUCACCUCUGUCCCACCUGCAGGGCUGACCCAAGCAGCAGAUGGGAGGGAGUGACUCACCACCCCACAGCCAAGUCACUGAAUCAUAGCAUUUAGAAGCAGAGGCGUGCCAUGAGACCAACUCUACGCUUCUCUACAUUUGUUCCUUCCUAGAAAAAGCGGGUUGGAGGUGUUCCCAGGAAAAUUCAGCCCCAGCUCAAAGCAAUAAAAAAUAUGUCUCUGA